rnacentral:rRNA from 1 species
UAUCAGCUUGUUGGUGAGGUAACGGCUCACCAAGGCAAAGAUGCGUAGCGGGUGUGAGAGCACGACCCGCGCCACUGGCACUGAGACACUGGCCAGACACCUACGGGUGGCUGCAGUCGAGGAUCUUUGGCAAUGAGCGCAAGCUUGACCAAGCGACGCCGCGUGUGCGAUGAAGGCCUUCGGGUUGUAAAGCACUGUCGAGGGGGAUCAAGGGCAACUUGAGUGAUCCCUGGAGGAAGGGCGGGCUAAGUUCGUGCCAGCAGCCGCGGUAAGACGAACUGCCCAAACGUUGUUCGGAAUCACUGGGCUUAAAGGGCGCGUAGGCGGCGAAUCAAGUCAGGGGUGAAAUCCGGCAGCUUAACUGUCGAAGUGCCUUUGAUACUGGUUUGCUCGAGGGAGGUAGGGGUGUGUGGAACUUCUGGUGGAGCGGUGAAAUGCGUUGAUAUCAGAAGGAACGCCGGUGGCGAAAGCGACGCACUGGACCUCUUCUGACGCUGAGGCGCGAAAGCUAGGGGAGCAAACGGGAUUAGAUACCCCGGUAGUCCUAGCCCUAAACGAUGGGUACUAGAUUGUAGACUAAUCAUGGGUUUACAGUCGAAG